GCUCAGUCCACCUGUGGCCACGGCCACGGCCGCUGCAAAGUAGCCAAAACGACGAGAGUAAGAAAAGUGCUCCGCGACAAAAUCCCAGGUGACCAUCAAGUC